CUACGUGCCAGCAGCCGCGGUAAUACGUAGGGCGCGAGCGUUGUCCGGAAUUAUUGGGCGUAAAGGGCUUGUAGGCGGUUGGUCGCGUCUGCCGUGAAAUCCUCUGGCUUAACUGGGGGCGUGCGGUGGGUACGGGCUGACUUGAGUGCGGUAGGGGAGACUGGAACUCCUGGUGUAGCGGUGGAAUGCGCAGAUAUCAGGAAGAACACCGGUGGCGAAGGCGGGUCUCUGGGCCGUUACUGACGCUGAGGAGCGAAAGCGUGGGGAGCGAACAGGAUUAGAUACCCUGGUAGUCCACGCUGUAAACGUUGGGCACUAGGUGUGGGGGCCACCCGUGGUUUCUGCGCCGUAGCUAACGCUUUAAGUGCUCCGCCUGGGGAGUACGGCCGCAAGGCUAAAACUCAAAUGAAUUGACGGGGGCCCGCACAAGCGGCGGAGCAUGCGGAUUAAUUCGAUGCAACGCGAAGAACCUUACCAAGGCU
rnacentral:rRNA from 1 species